GACGAACCGAGCGAACGUUGUUCGGAUUUACUGGGCGUAAAGGGCGCGUAGGCGGCGCAACAAGUCACUUGUGAAAUCUCCGGGCUUAACCCGGAGCGGUCAAGUGAUACUGUCGUGCUAGAGUGCGGAAGGGGCUACUGGAAUUCUCGGUGUAGCGGUGAAAUGCGUAGAUAUCGAGAGGAACACCUGCGGCGAAGGCGGGUUGCUGGGCUGACACUGACGCUGAGGCGCGAAAGCUAGGGGGAGCGAACGGG
rnacentral:rRNA from 1 species